UGAACCGUCCUCUAGGUGCAAUCU
rnacentral:siRNA from 1 species